rnacentral:tRNA from 1 species
GCGGAUAUCAUAUAAAGGCUAUUAUCUCAGCCUUCCAAGCUGAUGAUGCGGGUUCAAUUCCCGCUAUCCGCUCCA